AGUUCUACGGAACAACAGUUGGAAACGACUGCUAAUACCGUAUACGCCCUACGGGGGAAAGAUUUAUCGGAAUUAGAUGAGCCCGCGUAAGAUUAGCUAGUUGGUGGGGUAAUGGCCUACCAAGGCGACGAUCUUUAGCUGGUCUGAGAGGAUGAUCAGCCACACUGGGACUGAGACACGGCCCAGACUCCUACGGGAGGCAGCAGUGGGGAAUAUUGGACAAUGGGCGCAAGCCUGAUCCAGCCAUGCCGCGUGAGUGAUGAAGGCCUUAGGGUUGUAAAGCUCUUUCACCGAUGAAGAUAAUGACGGUAGUCGGAGAAGAAGCCCCGGCUAACUUCGUGCCAGCAGCCGCGGUAAUACGAAGGGGGCUAGCGUUGUUCGGAUUUACUGGGCGUAAAGCGCACGUAGGCGGUUUGUUAAGUCAGGGGUGAAAUCCCGGAGCUCAACUCCGGAACUGCCUUUGAUACUGGCAAGCUAGAGUCCGGAAGAGGUAAGUGGAACUCCUAGU
rnacentral:rRNA from 1 species